UUCCCUCCGGCUCUAUUUAAGGAGGAGAACCCUCCUCUCUCCUCUCAUCGAGAAAUCCCGAGGCAAAACGGCGGCAAUCGCCGGAAAUUCCUCUUAGAGACCCGUCACUGUGCCGUCCAAUUUCUCGCCGGAAAAGCCUCGCCGGCGACGGAGGUAAGCCUCCUCCCCUUCCUCUCUCCUCCCCCUUCCUUCCCGUGCCGAUGUGCACGCUCGCCGGCGACCGGAGUCGCCGGAUUUUGUUGCGGAAGAAUCUUUCCUUUUAUCAUUUUUCUAUCGUCGGUGGUCACCGUCGACCACCGGUUUGGCCGCCCCUUGCCGUCGGAACGUCUCCUCUCCUGCCGAUGGUCGUACCACGC
rnacentral:lncRNA from 1 species